AGGUGCGAUCAUACCAGCACUAAUGCACCGGAUCCCAUCAGAACUCCGCAGUUAAGCGUGCUUGGGAGAGAGUAGUACUAGGAUGGGUGACAUCAAUCCCCCACUUGAAAUUAAAAAACGAUUUCCGGGAAUAUGGUGCAGUUGUUUCAUUU